UUAAGAAAUAAUGCCAAGAUCCGGUGUACCCUUUAUUAGUUUCCCUGAAUGGAAACAUCUUGCAAAGCUGUAGGCCAGCCUCACAACCAGGAGGUUCACUUGGAUACAGUCAAGCGCUUGAAAAAUAUUGUGCCACCAACCUCCUGAACACUGUAGCUGCCGAAAGAAAAUCUACUGUCUUUCAAGCUAUUUUUCUCCUAUAGGUCUUUUUGGUUUGACCCAUGCUGUCCUAAAGAUGGACCACUUCUCAACCGUCACAUGCAUCCAGCACCUUUUGACCGACCUAUUUCUCUGGUUGGGGAAAUCCGGAUCGCCAGUGCUUCAGAGCUCCUGCAAGCCAUGCUGCCAGGAAUAUGCUGAGCAUGCCCCCUGCGGACCUGGGCGUAAGGUGCUCUAAGGUUUACACCGAGCUGAGAGUGGCUGGAUCACGGGCACCUGGCAUCGUAAUUGCUCCAAGUCCUGGCAUAUUGCCUCUGGGAGGGCAGAACCUGUUUAUGGUUCUGUCAACAGUGUCUGAAAAAUCCUGUUGGGAAAACUAAUUAAAAUAGCUUUGAGAAUUCUUGGGUAAAGCAGAUAUUAUUUUGGCAAGGUGAACACUGCCCUCUAAGUCAUGUUUGGGCUUGCAAACAACUAGGUGGCAUAAUCCAAGUUUCCCCUGGAUUUCCCGGGAUAAUCAGGGUGGAGUCCUGCCUGGCCCAUGGAGGGGACUUAGGUUGGAAGUGGGGAAACAUUUUGAAGCAGGGAAAGACUUGAAGCCCCAGAGAUCCUGGAAGUUAAAAUAACCACUGGGAAUUUUGCAUGAAUGGGAGGCAAAGGGGACAUCCCCUAGUAUGGAACCUGGUACUCAACUAAAGUAUCAGUGAAGGAAGGAAGGAAGGAAGGAAGGAAGGAAGGAAGGAAGGAAGGAGUAAUUGGCCUGUGCCUCUGCACACUUGCCGGGACUGGGGUCUGUGCUUCUGGGAACCUCAAGCUGUAUUUCCCAUUGGCUCUGCCAGCUGGAAAUGCACACUAAUGAAAGGACAACCUGUGUCUUUGAGGCCACCAACCCCCUUCCCUUGAUCACCCUGCCUAUCUCUUCCAGCCUCUCACCAAGCAUUCAUUCAUUUGUUCACAAAAUACCCCUAGGCACCUAAUGGCCCAGACUUUGCGCUAAGCUCCCGAAAGGACCCCGGGAUGUUCACGGGAUGGCACUAUUCGUCAGUGUGGUGCCCUCAGCCUGGUGACACCUGCCUUUGUUACGGGGCCUCUGUGUUGGUUGGAGCCCCUUCCCCGAUCAUCCAGUGUCAACCAGCCCCACCCCUGCGGUAUUUUCCAUUGCUCGUCUGGAUUUCCCUUUGGGGGCGUUUAUUGCAAUAAGUGCAUGUCUAUUUAUUUCUGCAAUUA